UAAAAUCGCUUAGUUUUAACAAAUACAAAUUUAUCAUCCAACAAGUGUGGACGAUGUGUUUGCGAGCGAAAAUUUGACCGGAGUUGCGAACUGGGCUUAUAGUAGAAAUUAGUUUAAAAUGUUAUGUCACCUUGUAUAGUUAUCUUCAAUGUUACCAUCAACCGUAUCUGUGCUGCCCUCCAGUUUCUAAAUAAAAAUCCGGCAUGAUUGUUCUACAAAAAAAAAACAAUUCUGGGAUAUGUGUGGUACACUAAAUUAGAGGUACUGAUCUUCCCUUCAAUUUGGUAUACACACUUUUUUUAACCCAAGCCCAUUUAUGGUUCCCAGACUGGAUUUAGAGUCAUACCCUCCAGUUUCGAAACAGAAAACUUGAACGUUUGUUCUACGAAAAAUUGUUCUGUGCGGGUGAGGAGAAGCCCAACACUCUACAACUACCACAAGGCACUCCCGCACGGGAUAACUAUUAGCACCACAUAGUCUGAAAGUUUGAGAUCCAAACUGUGUAGUGUUCAUCGUUGUCACGAGAAGCUUAGCUGCGUCCACAGGUUGCGGAGAAGCCCAACACUCUACAACUACCACAAGGCACUCCCGCACGGGAUAACUAUUAGCACCACAUAGUCUGAAAGUUUGAGAUCCAAACUGUGUAGUGUUCAUCGUUGUCACGAGAAGCUUAGCUGCGUCCACAGGUUGCGGAUACUGGAGUGGUCCAUACGGAGUAGCUGCAACUACAGUCGCGGGCAAUCAGCGGUAACGAGUCUCAGUAAGAACCCGGAUGGCACCUGUUCUUGCAUAAAUACUUAGUGCCUAUGAUGCUCGAUAUAACAAGGCGAGUUUUUGGAGUGUUUAAAUAACGAAUUGCCAUCUUGUCCCCGCGGCGAUCCCGGAACGAGCUUGCUCAUCUAUGGAGCUUGACGAGGAUCGCCACCUCUACAUACGGGCAUGGCUACAACAACAACAAAAACCUCGAGGCACAAAGGAACAAUUUUUUACUUUUGCAGCUCCUAGAAGCUCUCAUUUGUGCCCAAAUUUGCAGAAGUACCCUAACGAUGGAUAUCCGUAAAUUUUUAUAGACAAUCUUUUUUGGCCCUUUAUUUUUAUCAUAGAAAAUCAAAUGUUUUUUUGCAUUCGAUUGUUGCUAAUAAAUUCUUGCUUGAAAGCAAAUUAUCAUGAAA